AUGUGAUCAAGUUACUAAGGGUGUAUGGUGGAUGCCUUGGCAUCGAGAGGCGACGAAGGACGUGAUAGCCGACGAAACGCCCGGGGGAGCUGGCAAAUAAGCUUUGAUCCCGGGAUCUCCGAAUGGGGAAACCCCACCUUCGGGUGACCUCAUGGUGAAUGUAUAGCCAUGAGGGGCGAACGCAGGGAACUGAAACAUCUAAGUACCUGUAGGAAGAGAAAGAGACAUCGAUUCCGUGAGUAGCGGCGAGCGAAAUCGGAAGAGCCCAAACCGGGAUUCGUCCCGGGGUUGCGGGCGCCUCGAGCUGAAUUAGUCCCAGACGAACGGCCUGGAAAGGCCGGCCAGAGACGGUGAAAGCCCGGUAGUCGACGGGAUGAAUAGGCGUCGAGAGGCGUACCAGAGUAGUACGGAGCUCGUGGAACUCCGUAUGAAGCAGCGCGGACCACCGCGCAAGGCUAAAUACUCCUCGAUGACCGAUAGUGAACUAGUAGGGCGAUUGAACGGUGAAAAGAACAGCUGUUAGCUGAGUCAAAAGAUCCUGAAACCAUACACUUACAAGCGGUCGGAGCCCCAUCGUGGGUGACGGCGUACCUUUUGCAUAAUGGGCCGGCGAGUGCACGUCUGUGGCGAGGCUAAGCGUUUAAGACGCGGAGCCGUAGUGAAAGCGAGCCUUAAGAUGGCGUUAAGUCGUAGGCGUGCGGCCCGAAACCUAGUGAUCUACCCAUGGCCAGUGUGAACGUCCCGUAAAAGGGACGGGAGGCACGAGACCGUGAACGUUGAAAAGUUCUGGUAUGAGCUGUGGGGAGGAGUGAAAGUCUAAUCAAACUGGGAGAUAUCUGGUUCUCUGCGAAAUGCCUUUAGGGGCAGC
rnacentral:rRNA from 1 species